rnacentral:tRNA from 1 species
GGCCCCGUGGCGGAAUGGUAGACGCUCACGACUUAAAAUCGUGUGCCCUUCGGGCGUCCCGGUUCGAGUCCGGGCGGGGCCACCA